CCUAGCCCUUGUGGAGCUGUGGAAUAUCUAAAAUUAUGGGAAUUCCAGCUCUUGGCAAUGUAAGUGCACAUGUACCCUCUAUAAGAAACAGGGAUUGUUCACUAAUUCGACAAACCCGCAAACUGAGCUAUGAAAAGUGUCAUUCUGAAUGCUGCUAUAGUGACAGUGCACUCAUACAUUAUUAUUGUUGUUGUUGUAACAGUUCGAUGGUAGUUAAUAGAUACCUGCAAAGUAAGUAAACACCUUACCUCCUCCUCCCUGUGCCACCUAUAUUUUCAAUGAUUACACAGGUGGGAGACCUCAAGAGGUUUCUUUGACCCACUUCCUUCUUGUAUAAUGUGGUAAAUAAGAGACAUGGAGGAACAAUCUACUAAUGAUUCCCAGAACAGUAUUUAGUGUAUUGGGAACACUCCCAGCUGAGAGGAAUUUCCCUUCAGUAAACAACACAUUUUGAUGAAUUGAAAUCCAAACUGAAAAAUUCAACAGCUCAGCUAUGUUCUCC